rnacentral:pre_miRNA from 1 species
GCUUUCUGAGCUGACAGCGGUUUGAUCAAAUACACUGGCUCAGUUCAGCAGGAAC